rnacentral:rRNA from 1 species
UACGGGGGGGGCAAGCGUUGUUCGGAAUUACUGGGCGUAAAGGGCUCGUAGGCGGCCAACUAAGUCAGACGUGAAAUCCCCAGGCUCAACCUGGGAACUGCGUCUGAUACUGAUUGGCUUGAAUCCGGGAGAGGGAUGCAGAAUUCCAGGUGUAGCGGUGAAAUGCGUAGAUAUCUGGAGGAAUACCGGUGGCGAAGGCGGCCAUCUGGACGGUGACUGACGCUGAGACGCGAAAGCGUGGGGAGCAAACAGG